UUUUAGGUCUUGACCUGCCCCUAUGAAUAUAACUUAUUUAAAUGGCUGCGGUAUACUGACCGUGCAAAGGUAGCAUAAUCAUUAGUUUUUUAAUUGAAAGCUUGUAUGAAAGGUUUGAUGAGAAAAUAGCUGUCUCUAUGAAAAUUUAUUAGAAAUUUAUUUUUAAGUUAAAAAGCUUAAAUAAUUAUAAAAGACGAGAAGACCCUAUAGAGUUUUAUAUUUUAUUAUUUUAGUUGUUUUAGGAUUUUAAAUUUUAGACUAAUAAAAUAUUUGGUUGGGGUGAUUGAAAAAUUAAAUAAACUUUUUUUUUAUUAUUACAUUUAUUUAUGAUUAAUUGAUCCUUUAAUAAAGAUUACAAGAUUAAAUUACCUUAGGGAUAACAGCGUAAUUUUUUUUGAGAGCUCAAAUCGACAAAAAAGAUUGCGACCUCGAUGUGGAUUAAAAUUAACUUUUGGGGCAGAAGCUAUAAAGAUUAGGUCUGUUCUACCUUUAAAAUUUUACUUGAUCU
rnacentral:rRNA from 1 species